UGAACGCUGGCGGCGUGCUUAACACAUGCAAGUCGAGCGAGAAGCUCAUAAGUGAUUCUCGGAUGAACGAGUGAGUGGAAAGCGGCGGACGGGUGAGUAACGCGUAGGCAACCCUGCCCCGUACAAAGGGAUAAGCUACUGGAAACGGUAAUUAAUACCUCAUAACGCAGAGGCACCGCAUGGUGCUUUUGCCAAAGAUUUAUCGGUAUGGGAUGGGCCUGCGUCUGAUUAGCUUGUUGGUGAGGUAACGGCUCACCAAGGCGACGAUCAGUAGCCGACCUGAGAGGUAAACGGCCACAUUGGAACUGAGACACGGUCCAAACUCCUACGGGAGGCAGCAGUGGGGAAUAUUGCACAAUGGGGGAAACCCUGAUGCAGCAACGCCGCGUGAGCGAAGAAGGCCUUUGGGUCGUAAAGCUCUGUCCUGAAGGAAGAAGGAAGUGACGGUACUUCAGGAGGAAGCCCCGGCUAACUACGUGCCAGCAGCCGC
rnacentral:rRNA from 1 species